rnacentral:rRNA from 1 species
AGCUCCAGUAGCGUAUAUUAAAGUUGUUGCAGUUAAAAAGCUCGUAGUUGGAUUUCUGGCAAGGCAAAGCUAACCUGGCACUAUGUGUCGUGUGUUGGACUCGGUCUGCCAUCCUUCCAGAAAAGCUCUAAACCAUUCACUUGGAUUUGGAGUCGAUCUGGAACUUUUACUUUGAAAAAAUUAGAGUGUUCAAAGCAGGCGUUACGCUGUGAAUACAUUAGCAUGGAAUAAUAAUUUAGGACUUCAGUUCUAUUUUGUUGGUUUCUAGGACCGAAGUAAUGAUUGAUAGGGAUAGUUGGGGGUGCUAGUAUUCAACGGCCAGAGGUGAAAUUCUUGGAUUCGUUGAAGACUAACUUAUGCGAAAGCAUUCACCAAGGAUGUCUUCUUUAAUCAAGAACGA